rnacentral:rRNA from 1 species
GGCGGCGACCAUACCACGUUGAAAGCACCGGUUCUCGUCCGGUCACCGCAGUUAAGCAACGUUGGGCCCG